GACGAACGCUGGCGGCGUGCCUAAUACAUGCAAGUAGAACGCUGAAGAGAGGAGCUUGCUCUUCUUGGAUGAGUUGCGAACGGGUGAGUAACGCGUAGGUAACCUGCCUUGUAGCGGGGGAUAACUAGUGGAAACGAUAGCUAAUACCGCAUAACAAUCGAUGACACAUGUCAUGUAUUUGAAAUUGGCAAUUGCUCCACUACAAGAUGGACCUGCGUUGUAUUAGCUAGUAGGUGAGGUAACGGCUCACCUAGGCGACGAUACAUAGCCGACCUGAGAGGGUGGUCGGCCACACUGAGACGGAGACCGGGCACAGUGGCAUGCGGGAGGCGGCAGUAGUGCGACUUCGGUCAUGAGGGGAACACUGACCGCGCGACGCCGCGUCAGUGCCGAAGGUUUUCGGAUCGUAAAGCUCUGCUGUCCGGCAAGAAAGCGUGUGAGACUGGAAAGUUCACACUGUGACGGUAGCUUACAAGAAAGGGCCGGCUAACUACGUG
rnacentral:rRNA from 1 species